GCUUGAUUGCAAGACAUACAGGUCGAGCAAGGAUGAAAAUCGGACUUAGUGAUCCGGUGGUUCUGCGUGGAAGGGCCAUCGCUCAACGGAUAAAAGCUACCCUGGGGAUAACAGGCUUAUCGCCCCCAAGAGUCCACAUCGACGGGGAGGUUUGGCACCUCGAUGUCGGCUCAUCACAUCCUGGGGCUGUAGUAGGUCCCAAGGGUUGGGCUGUUCGCCCAUUAAAGUGGUACGCGAGCUGGGUUCAGAACGUCGUGA
rnacentral:rRNA from 1 species